GCGAGCCCCGCGCAGGGAUCCUGCCGGCUCGGUGUAACGCGUGUGGGUGCCUGGCGUGGCCAAGUAGGCGCCUGGUGUGCUGGCGGCUAGGUGGCUAGCUGUCCCCUGAACACGCUGGGCUGCCCCAAGUCCCCGCGCGCCGCCUGGCGGGUUCCUUCCUGGGAGGCGCCGCCGAGGCCCGAGAGGGCGGCGGUUCGCUGGCGAGUGGGCAGGAGGAGGCGGGGUAGACGAAGAAUUUGGGCUGCCUUCUGCUUUUCGGGACUGGGAAUCACACGUCUUACUCACCCGCUCAGCUGAGAAAGAAAUGACCAUGCCAGGUAAAGAGAAGAAAGGAAAAAGCCACAGAAAGUCUCGUGGGAAGAAGCAGAAGAAGCCCGAGGUGGACAUCCUCAGCCCCGCGGCCAUGCUGAACCUCUACUACAUCGCACACAACGUGGCCGACUGCCUGCAUCUGCGAGGCUUCCGCUGGCCAGGGGCUCCCAAAGGGAAAAAAGGGAAGAACAAGACUUAAGUGAUAGAGUUCUCCGCGCUCAGAGAACAACUUGGGGAAGAGAAAUCAAAUAACGCGACCCUGCAGGCAAAAUAGACUUUACUGAAGACACCUUGAAAUGCAAGCUCAGGGUGCUUUCUAUGGUAAAUAAUGGUGAAGAAAUGCCUUUUACUUCCUCAGUUAAGCUAGGCAUGGUUAGCCACUUUGGAUUUUCAGAAGUUAAGGGGAAAAACUUGAACAAUUCUUACACCAUGUGAUGGGAUUGAUAGUCCUUUAAAAAUUUAUUAUCAUAAUUCUGGGCCAGAAAUUAAACCUUGCUCUCAAAAGGCAGUUCCAGUUUGCACGAGUUAUUUUCUUUUGCUAAAAGGGGUCUGUUAUUUAGAGAAGAUACGGCAAAAAAAGCACAGGCUUUACAUUAUAAUCACCCCUUUCUUG
rnacentral:lncRNA from 1 species